rnacentral:rRNA from 1 species
UACGUAGGGUGCAAGCGUUUAAUCGGAAUUACUGGGCGUAAAGCGUGCGCAGGCGGUUGUGCAAGACAGAUGUGAAAUCCCCGGGCUCAACCUGGGAAUUGCAUUUGUGACUGCACGGCUAGAGUGUGUCAGAGGGGGGGUAGAAUUCCACGUGUAGCAGUGAAAUGCGUAGAGAUGUGGAGGAAUACCGAUGGCGAAGGCAGCCCCCUGGGAUAACACUGACGCUCAUGCACGAAAGCGUGGGGAGCAAACAGG